rnacentral:misc_RNA from 1 species
AUCAGCUACCACAAUAGAAGUAGUUGGUGCCUCCACUAAAGGCAAUUUUAACUCUUCAGCAACUCCCUUAUCUAGGAAACUAUUGGUACUGCCACUGUCAAUCAGUGUUAUUAAAGGUGUCCGAGGCGCCACUCUAACGUCUCGCUCGACACCGCUUGCCCAUUCUUUGAUGAGGCGGAGCAAAAAGGCGACAGUGAGGCGAUGCCUCGUUGAAG